rnacentral:rRNA from 1 species
CGUACACUCCUGCGGGAGGCAGCAGUGGGGAAUAUUGGACAAUGGGCGCAAGCCUGAUCCAGCCAUGCCGCGUGAGUGAUGAAGGCCCUAGGGUUGUAAAGCUCUUUCACCGGUGAAGAUAAUGACGGUAACCGGAGAAGAAGCCCCGGCUAACUUCGUGCCAGCAGCCGCGGUAAUACGAAGGGGGCUAGCGUUGUUCGGAUUUACUGGGCGUAAAGCGCACGUAGGCGGACUAUUAAGUCAGGGGUGAAAUCCCGGGGCUCAACCCCGGAACUGCCUUUGAUACUGGUAGUCUUGAGUUCGAGAGAGGUGAGUGGAAUUCCGAGUGUAGAGGUGAAAUGCGUAGAUAUUCGGAGGAACACCAGUGGCGAAGGCGGCUCACUGGCUCGAUACUGACGCUGAGGUGCGAAAGCGUGGGGAGCAAACAGGAUUAGAAACCCCUGUAGUCCCAUG